UUUUUUUUUUGGUAUUUCGUGUUCCAUAUCCAUAACUAAAGAUAGAGAACAACUUAGAACAGAAAAUAAAAAUUACUUAGUGAUAAAGCAAAGAAGCACACACGAGAAUAUUCACCCCACGCUAUAACUCCCCGGCAAUGGCGCCACAAAAAGGUCUUGAUAAGCCACAAGUAUAGGUGAUCAAUUGUAGCCUCUUUCGAUAAGUAAGAGUGUCAAACCCAACGAGGAUCUAAAGGUAGAACAAAUAUUCCCUCAAGUUCUAUCGACCACCGAUACAACUCUACGCACGGUUGACGUUCGCUUUACCUAGAACAAGUAUAAAACUAGAAGUACUUUGUAGGUGUAACGGGAUAUGUUUGCAAGAAUAUAAAGAGCACGUAAAUAAAAACUAGGGGCUUUUUCAGGUAAAGAAGCAAUAAAGUUAGUAUAGCGAGUGUGGAAAAGUGGUGGUAGGAGUUGCGAAAUUGUCCCUAAGCAACUGACUACUUUACUAGACCGAUAACAAGUUUUAUGUGGGAGAGGCCACCACUAGCAUGUCAUCCCUGACUUGGAAUUCUAUGCACUUAUGAUUGGAACUAUUAGCAAGCGUCUACAACUACUAACAUUCAUUAAAGUAAAACCAACCAUACCAUUAAGAUAUAUUGGUCCCCCUUCAAUCCCGUAUGCAUCAAUUUCUAUGCUAGGUUGAAGCUUCUGUCACUCUUGCCAUCCAAUACAUAGUCCUAUCAACAUACAACUAACCCUAUGGUGUGAUCCACGCGCGCACUCAUAUGAUGGGCACCAAAGGACAGCAACAUAACCACAAGCAAAUUAAACCAAUCAUAGCAAUUCACCAAUUAGCGAUAGGGCAACAAAAAUCUACCCAGACAUCAUAGGAUGGCAACACAUCAUUGGAUAAUAAUAUGAAGCAUAAAGCACCAUGUUCAAGUAGAGGGAAAAGAGGGUUGCGGGAGAGUGGACCGCUGUAGAUAGAUGGGGGAAGGUGAUGAAGAUGUUGGUGAAGAUGACAGAGGUGUUGGUGUAGAUCGCCGUCACACGAUGAUGGCCCCGGCGGUGUUCCGGCGCCACCGGGAGAGAGGGGAGAGAGCCCCCCUUCUUCUUCUUCUUCCUUGACCUUCUCCCUAGAUGGGAGAAGGGUUUACCCCCUGGUCCAUGGCUUCCAUGGCGGCGGAGGGGCGGGAGCCCCUUCGAGAUUGGAUCUGUCUCUUUGUCUCUCUCCGUUUCUGCCUUUCAAAUUAUGGCCUUUCACUGUUUCUUAUAUUGCUAGAGAUCCGUAACUCCGAUUUGGCUGAAAUUCUAACACGAUUUCUAUCCGGAUAUUGGCUUUCUUGCGGUGAAAGAAAGGAACCAACCGCCUUACGGGGUAGCCACGAGGGUCAGGGGCACGCCCACCACCCUGGGGCGCGCCCCCCUGCCUCGUGGCCCCCUCAGGCAUCGUCUCGCAUUGAUUCUUCUUCCCAAAAAUCACAUAUAUUCCAAAAAAAUCUCCGUCAGUUUUUAUCCCAUUUGGACUCCGUUUGAUAUGGAUUUUCUGCGAAACAAAAAACAUGCAACAAACAGGAGCUAGCACUAGGCACUGGAUCAAUAUGUCAGUCCCAAAAAUAGUAUAAAAAGUUGCCAAAAGUAUAUAAAAGUUGUAGAAUGUUGACAUGGAACAAUAAAAAAUUAUAGAUACGAUGGAGAUGUACCAAGGCAUACCUCGAGGAGGUACGCAAAUUCGAGAAACGAUUCUUGGGCCUAGAAUUGCAGCACGUGCCAUGCGGCACAAACAAGAAGGUGGACGACGUCGCCAAGAGGGCGUCCCGGCGUCUACCUUAGGAGCCUAGCGUCUUUGAGGAGCAGCUCUUCAAGCCAUUGGCAGCUCCCCCUGCUACGGGGCCUGCGUCUCCUUAGGAGGAGCUCCCUCUAGCACCCCCCCUCAAGUGCCCCUACUUGGGGAUCGACCUUGGGAGCCCGCCUGCUCCUCGCGCUUGAGCCUCGGGAGGGGUGCUGGACUAAGGAAUUCAAGGCAUACCUACUCCGAGGCACCUUGCCGGAGAAGGAGGAAGACGCGGAGCGUGUGGCCCGUCAGUCCACUGCAUACUGCAUUCAGGACAGUGAGCUCUACCGGAAACGGCCAUACGAUGUUUCUCUAUGAUGCAUCUCUAGGGAGUAGGGAUGCGAGCUGUUGGUCGACAUACGUCGCGGGGACUGCAGGCAUCACUCUUCAUCGCGCAUCCUCGUGGGCAAGGCGUUCCGUAGCGGAUUCUACUAGCCCACGGUGCUCAAUGAUGCCACCGAGCUAGUAAGAUCUUGUGAUGCCUGUCAUUUCCAUGCCAAGCAGAUCCAUCAGCCCGCUCAGGGCCUCCAGACUAUCCCGUUCUCGUGGCCUUUCGCAGUUUGGGGGCUGGACAUCUUGGUCCCGAUCCCUCGAGCGCCCGAGGGCUACCGCUACCUCUAUGUCGCCAUUGAAAAGUUCACCAAGUGGGCCGAGGUAGAGGCCAUCCGCACCAUCCCAGCCGGCUCGGCUGUCAAGUUCAUCAAGGGCCUCGUGAGCCAUUUCGGGGUCCCUGAUCCCAUCAUCACCGACAAUGGCUCGCAGUUCACCAGCAACCUUUUCAAAAAAUAUUGUGCUAACCUUGGAAUGCUGAUAUGCUACGCUUCGGUGGCAUGCUACCUCUUGAGCUUGUGUUGGUUUUUCCCUUGAAGAGGAAAGGGUGAUGCAGUAAAGUAGAGUAAGUAUUUCUCUCAGCUUUUGAGAACCAAGGUAUCAAUCCAGUAGGAGACAACGCACAAGCCACCGAAUACCCACACAAACAAACACCAACUUGCACCCAACGCGAUAAAGGGGUUGUCAAUCCCUUCACGGUUAUUUGCAAAGUGAGAUCAUAUAUAGAUGGAUAAAUGGUAAAUUAAUACUUUUGGUAUUUUUGGUUUAUAGAUCAGAAAGUAAAAGAUUGCAAAGAAAGUAAAUAGGAAACUAAAAUUAUAGAUCGGAAACUUAUAUGAUGGAAAAUAGAAGAUUAUAUGAUGGAAAAUAGAAGAUUAUAUGAUGGAAAAUAGACCCGUGGGCCAUAUGUUUCACUAGAGGCUUCUCUCAAGAUAGAAAAUAUUAUGGUGGGUGAUAAAAUUACUACCGAGCAAUUGAUAGAAAAGCGCAAAGUUAUGACGAUAUCUAAGGCAAUGAUCAUGAAUAUAGGCAUCAUGUCCGUAUCAAGUAGACCGAAAUAAUUCUGCAUCUACUACUAUUACUCCACACAUUGAACGACUCCUGCCUGCGUCUAGACUAUUAAGUUCAUUAGAAUAGAGUAACACAUUAAGUAAGAUGACAUGAUGUAGCGGGAUAAACUCAAGGAAUAUGAUGAAAACCCCAUCUUCUUAUCCUCGAUGGCAACAAUACAAUACAUAUCGGUUCCCCUUCUGUCAAUAGGAUCGACCACCGCAAGAUUGAACCCAAAGCUAAGCACUUCUCCCAUUGCAAGAAAAACCAAUCUAGUUGGCCAAACCAAAUCGAUAGUUCGAAGAGACUUGCAAAGAUAUCAAGUCAUGCAUAAAAGAAUUCAGAGGAGAUUCAAAUAAUAUUGAUAGAUAAGCUGAUAAAUCCAUGAUUCAUCAUAUCUUAGCAAACACACCGCAAAAAAGUAUUACAUCAAAUAGAUCUCCAAGAACAUCAAGGAGAACAUGGUAUUGAGAAUCAAAGACAGAGAACAAGCCAUCUAGCUACUAGCUAUGGACACGUAGGUUUGUGGUAAAUUACUCAGGCUUCAUCAUAGAGGCAAUGGUGUUGAUGUAGAAGCCCUCCGUGAUCGAAUCCCCCUCCGGCAGGACGCCGGAAAAGGCCCCUAGAUGGGAUCUCACGGGUACAUAAGGUUGCGGUGGUGGAAAAGUGGUUUCGUGGCUCCCUUGGAAAGUUUUGGGGUAUUUGAGAAUAUAUAGGUGGAAGAAAUAGGUCGGUGGAGUCACGUGGAGCCCACAAGGGUGGGGGCGCGCCCUCUGUCCUUGUGGGUGCCUCGUCGCUUCCCUGACGUGUACUCCAAGUCCUCUGGAUGUCUUCUGGUCCAAGAAAAAUCACCGCGAAAGUUUCAUUCCAUUUGGACUCCGUUUGGUAUUCCUUUUGUGCGAAACUCUAAAACAAGGGAAAAACAUGAACUGGCACUGGGCUCUCGAUUAAUAGGUUUGUCCCAAAAAUCAUAUAAAAUAGCAUAUUAAUGCAUAUAAAACAUCCAAAAGAGAUAAUAUAAUAGCAUGGAACAAUCAAAAAUUAUAGAUACGUUGGAUACGUAUCAUGGCACACCCUCGGAGCAACGGCCAGGCUGAGCACACCAACGCGGAGGUCCUGAGAGGCCCAAGGCAAGGACCUUCAAGAAGAAGCACGAAGCUUGCGGCAGGGGCUGGCUCGACGAGCUCUAGUCUGUGUUGUGGUCCAUCCGCACCACCGCAACCAAGCCGACGGGCGAGACUCCAUUCUUCCUCGUCUACGGAGCUGAAGCAGUUCUCCCUCACGAGGUCAGACAUCUCUCCAAGCGAGUCUUGGCGUUUGACGAGGCAUGCCAGGACGCCACGCGGGGGGAUGGACCUCGUGCUGGGGGAGGAACGCCGCCGCUAGGCCUUGCUCCGAGCAGCGAGGUACCAGCAGGCACUGCAGCGGUACCACUGCCGCAGCGUCCGCUCCAGGACGCUCGAGGUGGGUGAUCUCGUUCUGAGGCGAGUGCUCUCCAGAGAAGGGUUGCAUAAGCUCUCGCGCAUGUGGGAGGGCCCGUUCAGGAUCUCCCAUGUCUCUAGGCCUGGCACCAUGCGCCUGGAGACACAAGACAGGAUCCCCAUCCACAAUACCUAGACCAUUCAGCACCUCUGGAAGUUCUACCCAUGAAGCAAGGCCACACGCCUAUGAAGGUCUCCACUCGUGAAACUCUCACGUAAUAAUGAGUUGGGGUUGUACACGCCUCGGAGUCUCCUGAGUGUCGCCCCUGGGCCUCACGGGGGCUCCCACCCACGUCCUAGUGGAGGCCCCAUGCUCCCCACUGGUGGGAAGACAAGAAGACUUGUCUAGGUGCCGGACGCGGCUGUUCUUUUGCUUGCUUUCUCUAGCUGGUUUGCAACUUAUUGAGUGAAAUUUGGUGCUUUCGAGUCUUUCAUUUGCCAGAGUUGGGAUUUUCCUCUCCUUCCGCUUUUGUUCGCUUUUCUAGCCGAGUCUCGGGAGGAGCGGCAGUUGCAUGUCGCUCUUCCUCACGCGUCCCACACGCGGGGGCUAGGUGCGGUGUGCAUGCCUGGGCUUUCCCGCGACCACACCUCAUGUCACAUCCCUAGCUGCUGGUAGUGCUCUAGGCUAGCUCAUGUGUGCAUCAUGUUUAAAUUCUGAAAAUUUGAACUGAGGGAAUUUUGGAAGCCUCAAAAACUUAAAUAAAAGAGGGGCAAAAACCCUAGAAAUCUCAUUCAUUGCUCCAAAAUGCUCUUCUUAAAUGUUUGAUAAUUUUUGGUAAGGGUUCUGGUCCCAACCAAAAUAUUGAACAUUUUUAAGGAAUUAUUUUUGGGACUUUGGAUUUAAUUCAUUAGCUAUUUGAAUUUGGAUUAUAUUCAUAUAAUUAGAAUAUAAUUUCAAAUACCCCUGAUAUAUUUUAUAAGCUUUUGGGAAAGUCCAUUUAGCAAUAUAAAAUAUUCAGAGGAGUUUUUGGCAUUGUUUGAAUUAUUUUAAAUUCAAAACAGUGGCAAAAUAUAUUAAAUAAAACAAAACAGAAGAAAAAAAUAAAAAGAACAGAAGCCUACCUAGGCCACUUACCUGUAGCCGGCCCAGCUGGCCAGCUCCUUCCGCUGGCCCAGCCCACCGCCGCCUCCCUCCCCUGUCGCCUUCCUCCUCUGCCAGGAGGACGGGCACGCGCCCGGCGCGCGCGGCCACGCGCCCCGGCCACCUCCUCCCUGCCUGGCUGCCUCCUCCUCCCCUGGUUCCCUCCCGCGACGCCACGCAGCCCCCGACCCCCUCUCACUUCUCCCUUGCUCUCUGGACCCCCUCCUCCUCCUCUGUUCUCCUCACCGAGCGGAGCCCGUCGCCGCCGCUCGCCAUAACCACGGCCACCGGGCCUCCCUCGCUCCCCCGACUAGCCCAGAGGCUCCGCCUCGACCCCCUCUUCCCUCUCCACCGACCCACGGCCCUCCGGAAGCCCUGCAACGCCGCCACCAUCGCUGUUCCGUCGCCGGCCACCGAAGCUCACCGCUGGAGAUUCGCCGCCUCCGACGCCUCCCCGAGCUCCCCGAGGCCACCGUUGCAACCCCUGUGAGCUCCACCACCGUUUCCCCCUCUUUCCCUCUUCGUUUGGUUGCCGUAGCCGUCGCCCCCUUGAUGACCGAAACCCGCCGCCGUCUGUGAUCGCCGCUGACGUGCCUCCGGCCACCUAGUGGCCCGGCUGUCGUGCUCAGCUUCCUCCCCGCGCUGCCUGGAACACGUAGGUGCCCCGCACGAGCCUCCCCGGCCACCGUAGCGUCAACCCCGAGCUCGCCCGAGCUCCGGCGACCGCCACGCUCGACGCCGGUGACGACUCCGGCCAUCUUAGGCCCAGCCGCUGCCACUACUCGACGCGGACGAGCGCCCGCGUCACGUAGACGCUCUCCGUCGGCCAUUUGGUCGCCGGAGGAGGAAACCCGCACCCCUCCGCCGGCGACGAGUCGCGGGUCAACUCCGGCGAGUUGACCCAGGUUUGACCUUCCCCGUGUGUCACUGACGUGUGGGCCACCCCCCCCCUGACAUUUUAGUUAGUAUUAGUUUAACACUAAUUAACCUAGGUUAGUUAGCUGAUUAGUCGCUGACCAGUGGGCCCCGGCCCCACAAACAGUUUAGUUAGAAUUAACUUAAGGCUAAUUAACUUGGUUAAUUAGUUGUGUCACUGACCAGUGGACCCCACUGGUCAGGUUUGACCUGAAUCUGCCCCGUUGACCUGAUGACGUCAAGGUGAUGUCAUGCUGACGCAUUAAAUGAUUUUCUGGAUUUAAAAUAAAUCAGAAAAUCCAGAAAAUUGUAUAAACUUCUAAAAUUCAUAGAAAAUUAACCGUAACUCCAAAUUAAAUAAAUUAUAUAUGAAAAAUUAUCAGAAAAAUUCAAGGAAUCCAUCUGUACCCUUUUCAUGCAUGUUAGAACAACUUAUAGGUGCUGUUUAGCACAAAUCAAUUAAAUGGCAUUUGAAUAAUCACAUAUGGAGUUUGAAUUUGAAUCUUGUAUUCAAACCAACUUCAUUUAAUCUGUUGCUAGUUGCAUUAGCCCAAAACACAUUCAUUUUGCCAUGUCAUGAUCAUGCAUCAUAUUGUGCAUUGCAUUGAUUGUGUUCCCUUCUGUGUUGCCGGUAUUUGUCCCCUCUCGAUAGACGUGAUACCGAUGAUGUGAUCGUUGACACUGAUGAAGACUCAAUGUUAUCUUCAGAAGUGCCAGGCAAGCAAAACCCCCUUGUUCAUUCCGAUACAAUCCUACUCUCUCGCUCCUGCUCUCUUUUAAUGCAUUAGGACAACACCGAUUUAUCUGUUACUUGCUGCGGUAGCUGAACCCCUUUGUCCUUUGCAUGACCUGUCAUUGCCACAGUAAAUAGAUGAAACCCACUAGCAUGAGUAGGAGUUGUUUGAGCCCUGUUGUGCCUACUCAUUCAUGCUUGUUUGUCAUGCCUGCUACUGCUUAGAGUUGAGUCAGGUCUGAUUCAUCGGGGAUGAAUCAGAGGUGUGUGAACAUGUCCUACUGUGUGUGAGCUAAGUGUGUGAACACGAUUUGGUAAAGGUAGCGGUGAGAGGCCAUGUAGGAGUACAUGGUGGGUUGUCUCAUUGCAGUCGUCCUCAGGAACUGAGUUCUGUGUUUGUGAUCCAUGAUUCAGCUACUACCACGCAUUGGGCCCGAAACCAAUGGACCCUCUCGGCUUCUUAAUCACCCUUGUCCUCUGUCCAGGAGUUGCAAGUAGUUUCUGGUGUUUGUAGUAUGCUGGAGGCCGUGGGCAGCGCUGACCGUAGGGGUGGGCUGUGAUGCGGUAGGCACGUGGCACGGUGUACCGGGCGCCCGUUUGGUGUCUCGGGAACCCUGUUCACAUCGUUUGGGGCUGUGAGCGAAACUCCGGCCGGAUCUCCUCAUGGAUGGAACCCGAAUAGGCGAUAAACCUGGACUAGAGACUCGAGUGUUUAGGCAGGCUGUGGCCGACACCCACGUUGGGCUUCCGCUUGAAGGUUGUCGAGUACAUGUCAUGUAAACGGCGGUAAGUGGUGAGAGCGUGUGUGAAGAAGUACACCCCUGCAGGGUUAACAUCAUCUAUUCGAAUAGCCGUGUCCGCGGAAAAGGACUUCUGGGUUGCUUAUAUAAGUUCAUAGACAAGUGAAAGUGGAUACUCUAAAAUACGCAAGAUAAGCGUGAGUGCUAUGGAUGGCGUUCUCGUAGGGAGACGGGAGCAGAUCCAUAGUGGUGUAUUGAUAUGGUGAAUAUGUGGACUCAUGUGCGCCACCUCAAAAGAGUUACUCGCAGUCGUAGUUUAGGAUAGCCACCGAGUCAAAGCUGGCUUGCUGCAGUUAAACCCCACCACCCCUUUGUUGAUAAUGAUGCAUAUGUAGUUAGUUCUGAUGUAAGUCUUGCUGGGUACAUUUGUACUCACGUUUGCCUAUUUUAUGUUUUUGCAGAGAGACUUCGGUCUCACUAGUAGUUCCGCGUGGACUUCGACGUUUAGCUUGUUACCUCAGCUACGAUCUUGUGCCCUCGGCAGGAUCUGAUAGAUAGUCAGGCUUCUCAGCUUUUUUCAUUUAUAGAUGUCUGUACUCAGACAUGAUAGCUUCCGCUUGUGCUUUGACUUGUAUGCUCUGAAUGUUGGGUCGUGAGACCCCUGUUUGUAAUAUCUCGCUCCUCGGAGCCUAUUGAAUAAAUUACUUGAGUCGUAGAGUCAUGUUGUGAUGCCAUGUUGUAGUUGCACAUAUCGAGCAUAUUGUGUGUAUGUUAUUGAAAUGCUCGGUAUGUGUGGGAUCUGACCAUCUAGUUGUUUAUCUUUAGUAGCCUCUCUUACGGGGAAAUGUCUCCUAGUGUUUCCACCGAGCCAUGGUAGCUUGCUACUGCUCCGGAACACUUAGGCUGGCCGGCAUGUGUCCUUCUUCGUUCCUGUGUCUGUCCCUUCGGGGAAAUGUCACGCGAUGAAUACCGGAGUCCUGUUAGCCCGCUACAGCCCGGUUCACCGGAGUCCUGCUAGCCCAGUGCUACAGCCUGGUUUCACUCGCUGUUGACCGACACGUUCGAUGCUGGGUCAUGGAUACCUGUCCCUGUAAGUCUGUGCCACUUUGGGUUUACGACUAGCCAUGUCAGCCCGGGCUCCUUAUCAUAUGGAUGCUAGCGACACUGUCAUAUACGUGUGCCAAAAGGCGCAAACGGUCCCGGGCUAAGGUAAGGCGACACCCGUGGGAAUACCGUGCGUGAGGCCGCAAAGUGAUAUGAGGUGUUACAUGCUAGAUCGAUGUGGCAUUGAGUCGGGGUCCUGACACCUCAGCAACGCCUUGCCACCACAGCUCGGCUCCCUUAAUCCUUGCGAGACGCCCUCGAGCGAGCUCAUGGACAUGCGCGCCUCUUAAGUCCUGCCCCUGGGCAUAGCGACGUGGCGCGCUAACCACAACCAAUCCAUGCUAAGGAGCUUGUCCAAGGUAGGACGGGGCACCUCAUGAGGUUUUCUAACCUUGAAGAUACACGAUGUCUCUUAAGGACCAACGACCCUCGGGUCCACAAGAAGAAGGCUCCAGAGGAUGCCUUUGGAAAGGCACACCCCCAUGACAAAAGAGUCGACCGCAAGCACAUCGAACUAAGUACCCCGAACAUACCUGGUAGAAACACGGAUAUCAUAGCAUAAUAUAAAGAUAAGGAGCAUAGCAUAACAAUGCAAGCAAAUAGUUCAUUACACACCCCACCAGGGCCCUCUACUUUUUUGAUGCAGGAUAAAAGAAAAAAAAGCAAAAGCAGGCCACACGACUGCAACAGCUCCCGAGGCCAGACUCCAACUAUGCACGAGCUCAGUCCGAGUCUUCCUCCUGCUUCACCGGGGCGCGAUAGCGAGGCGGCUCGUUGCCUUCCCUGAUCCAAGCCCGGCGGCGUGAUGGUUCGUCGUAGCUGCCUGAUACGUCCAUUUUGCAUCAUGCUUUUAUAUCGAUAUUUAUCGCAUUAUGGACUGUUAUUUCACUUUAUAUCACAAUACUUAUGGUUAUUCUCUCUUAUUUUACAAGGUUUACAUAAGGAGGGAGAAUGCCGGCAGCUGGAAUUCUGGGCUGGAAAAGGAGCAAAUAUUAGAGACCUAUUCUGCGCAACUCCAAAAGUCCUGAAACUCCACGGAAUGUCUUAAAAUAAAUAAAGAAAAAUCCUUGCCAAAGAUGAAGGCCAGGGGGCCCACACCCUGCUCACGAGGGUGCCCCUCCUAGGGCGUGCCCCCUACCUCGUGGGCCCCCUGGUGGCUCUCCGACGCCCAUCUUCUCUUAUAUGAAGUCUUUCGAUGAGAAAAAAAUAAGAAGGAACUUUUCGAGACGAGACUCCGCCGCCAUGAGGCGGAACCUUGGCGGAUCCAAUCUAGAGCUCCGGCAGAGCUGUUCUGCCGGGGAUACUUCCCUCCGGGAGGGGGAAAUCAUCACCAUCGUCAUCACCAACGCUCCUCUCAUCGGGAGAGGGAAAUCUCCAUCAACAUCUUCACCAGCACCAUCUCAUCUCCAAACCCUAGUUCAUCUCUUGUACCCAAUUCUUGUCUCACAGUCCAGGAUUGGUGCUAGUAGGUUGCUAGUAGUGUUGAUUACUCCUUGUAGUUGAUGCUAGUUGGUUUAUUUGGUGGAAGAUCAUAUGUUCAGAUCAUAUAUGCAUAUUAUUACCCCUCUGAUUAUGAACAUGAAUAUGCUUUGUGAGUAAUUAUGUUUGUUCCUGAGGACAAGGGAGAAGUCUUUCUAUUAGUAGUCAUGUGAAUUUGGUAUUCGUUUGAUAUUUUGAUAAGAUGUAUGUUGUCUAGCCUCUAGUGGUGUUAUGCGAACGUCGACUACAUAACACUUCACCAUUAUUUGGGCCUAGAGGAAGGCAUUGGGAAGUAAUAAGUAGAUGAUGGGUUGCUAGAGUGACAGAAGCUUAAACCCUAGUUUAUGUGUUGCUUCGUAAGGGGCUGAUUUGGAUCCAUAUGUUUCAUGCUAUGGUUAGGUUUACCUUAAUACUUUUGUUGUAGUUGCGGAUGCUUGCAAUAGAGGUUAAUCAUAAGUGGGAUGCUUGUUCAAGUAAGAACAGCACCCAAGCACCGGUCCACUCACAUAUCAAGUUAUCAAAGUAUCGAACGCGAAUCAUAUGAACCUGAUGAAAACUAGCUUGACGAUAUUCCCAUGUGUCCUCAGGAGCGCUUUUCCUAUUAUAAGAGUUUGUUCCGGCUUGUCCUUUGCUACAAAAGGAUUGGGCCACCUUGCUGCACUUUAUUUACUUUUGUUACUUGUUGCUCGUUACAAUUUAUCCUAUCACAAAACUAUCUGUUACCACUUAUUUCAGUACUUGCAGAGAAUACCUUGCUGAAAACCGCUUACCAUUUCCUUCUACUCCUCAUUGGGUUCGACACUCUUACUUAUCGAAAGGACUAUGAUAGAUCCCCUAUACUUGUGGGUCAUCAAGACUCUUUUUUGGCGCCGUUGCCGGGGAGUGUAGCGCCUUUGGUAGGUGGAAUUUGGUAAGGAAAAAUUUAUAUAGUGUGCUGAAAUUUACUGUCACUUGUUACUAUGGAAAGUAAUUCUCUAAGGGGCUUGUUCGGGGUAUCUUCACCCCGUCCAGUAGAGCAAAGAGUUGCUCCUCAACCUACUGAACCUAUUGAAAAUGAAACUCCUUUUGAAUUUCCUUCGGGUAUGAUGGAAAAACUGCUAGCUAACCCUUUUACAGGAGAUGGAACAAAGCAUCCUCAUGAGCACUUAAUAUAUGUGGAUGAAGUUUGUGGAUUAUUUAAGCUUGCAGGUAUACCCGAUGAUGUUGCUAAGAAGAAAGUCUUCCCUUUAUCUUUGAAGGGAGACGCAUUGAUAUGGUAUAGGCUAUGCGAUGAUAUGAGAUUCUAGGACUAUAAAAGAUUGAAGCUGGAAUUUCAUCAAAAGUAUUACCCUAUGCAUCUUGUUCAUCGUGAUCGCAAUUAUAUAUAUAAUUGCUGGCCUCGUGAAGGAGAAAGCAUCGCUCAAGCUUGGGGGACGUUUAAAUCAAUGUUAUAUUCAUGCCCCAAUCAUGAGCUCCCGAGAUAAAUAAUUAUGCAAAGUUUUUAUGCUCGGCUUUCUGAUAACAAUCGCACCAUGCUCGAUACUUCUUGUGUUGGCUCUUUUAUGAUGAAGACUAUUGAAUUCAGAUGGAAUUUAUUGGAUAGAAUUAAACGCAACUCUGAAGAUUGGGACCUCGACGAAGGUAAGGAGUCAGGUAUGACACCUAAGUUUGAUUGUGUUAAAUCUUUUAUGGACACCGAUAUUUUCCGUAAGUUUAGCUCUAAAUAUGGACUUGACUCUGAGAUAGUAGCUUCUUUCUGUGAAUCUUUUGCUACUUAUGUUGAUCUCCCUAAGGAGAAGUGGUUUAAAUAUCAUCCUCCAAUAGAAGUAAAAGUAGCUGCACCUAUUAAAGUUGAAGAAAAGACUGUCACUUAUAAUGAUCCUAUUGUUCCUACUUCUUAUAUUGAGAAACCACCUUUCCCUAUUAGAAUAAAGGAUCAUGCUAAAGCUUCAACUGUUGUUCAUAAAAGCAACAUUAGAACUUAUAUACCUCCUGAGCAAGUUAAAGUAGAACCUAAUAUUGCUAUUGUUAAAGAUCUCUUGUCUGAUAAUAUUGAUGGGCAUGUUAUUCAGUUUGAAGGUGAAACUGCUAGAAUUGCUAAACCUUGUGAUAAAGAUAAACAUAGACCUGUGGUAGGCGUGCCUGUUAUUUCUAUUAAAAUAGGAGAUCAUUGUUAUCAUGGCUUAUGUGAUAUGGUUGCAAGUGCUAGUGUUAUACCACAUACUUUAUACGAAGAAAUUAAGAAUGAAAUUGCACCUGUUGAGUUAUAAGAUAUUGAUGUUACUAUUAAACUUGCUAAUAGAGAUACUAUUGCACCAAUUGGAAUUGUUAGAGAUGUUGAAGUCUUGUGUGGGAAAACUAAAUAUCCUGCUGAUUUUCUUGUUCUUACUUCUCCGCAAGAUAGCUUUUGUCCCAUUAUAUUUGGUAGACCCUUCUUAAAUACUGUCAAUGCUACCAUAGAUUGCACAAAGAAUGUUGUUACUGUUGGCUUGGAUGAUAUGGUUCAUGAGUUUAAUUUCUCUAAAUUUAGUAAACAACAUCGUGAGGAAGAAUUACCUAGUAAGGAUGAAAUUAUUGGUCAUGCUUCUAUUGCCGUACCUCCUAGUGAUCCUUUAGAACACUAUUUGCUAGACCAUGAAAAUGAUAUGUUCAUGAAUGAAAGAAGGGAAAUAGAUGAAGUAUUCUUUAAACAGGAACCUAUUCUGCAACACAAUUUGCCUGUUGAAAUUUUAGGGGAUCCACAUCCACCCAAGGGUGAUCCCGUGUUUGAGCUCAAACUGUUGCCUGAUAAUCUUAAAUAUGCUUAUCUUGAUGAAAAGAAGAUAUAUCAUGUUAUUAUUAGUGCUAACCUUUCAGAGCAUGAAGAAGAAAGAUUAUUGAAAACUCUGAAGAAGCAUCGUGCUGCUAUUGGAUAUACUCUUGAUGAUCUUAAGGGCAUUAGUCCCACUCUAUGUCAACAUGAAAUAAAUUUGGAAGCAGAUGCCAAACCAGUUUGUGAUCCUCAACGACGUCUGAAUCCUAAAAUGAAAGAAGUAGUAAGAAAAGAAAUACUAAAGCUUCUGGAGGCAGGUAUAAUCUAUCCCGUUGCUGAUAGUGAGUGGGUAAGUCCUGUCCAUUGUGUCCCUAAGAAGGGAGGUAUUACUGUUGUUCCUAAUGAUAAAGAUGAAUUGAUUCCACAAAGAAUUAUCACAGGUUAUAGGAUGGUAAUUGAUUUCCGCAAAUUAAAUAAAGCUACUAAGAAAGAUCAUUACCCCUUACCUUUUAUUGAUCAAAUGCUAGAAAGAUUAUGCAAACAUACACACUAUUGCUUUCUAGAUGGUUAUUCUGGUUUCUCUCAAAUACAUGUGUUGGCUAGAGAUCAAUCAAAGACUACUUUUACAUGCCCUUUUGGUACUUUUGCUUAUAGACGUAUGACUUUUGGUUUAUGUAAUGCACCUGCUACCUUUCAAAGAUGCAUGAUGGCUAUAUUCUCUGACUUUUGUGAAAAGAUUUGUGAGGUUUUCAUGGAUGACUUUUUCGUCUAUGGUUCCUCUUUUGAUGAUUGCUUGAGCAAUCUUGAUCGAGUUUUGCAGAGAUGUGAAGAAACUAAUCUUGUUUUGAAUUGGGAAAGUGCCACUUUAUGGUUAAUGAAGGUAUUGUCUUGGGGCACAAAGUUUCUGAAAGAGGUAUUGAAGUUGAUAAAGCCAAGGUUGAUGCUAUUGAAAAGAUGCCAUGUCCCAAGGACAUCAAAGGUAUAAGAAGUUUCCUUGGUCAUGCCGGAUUUUAUAAGAGGUUCAUUAAGGACUUCUCAAAAAUUUCUCGGCCUCUGACUAAUUUAUUGCAAAAAGAUAUACCAUUUGUCUUUGAUGAUGAUUGUGUAGAAGCAUUUGAAAUACUUAAGAAAGCAUUAGUCUCUGCACCUGUUGUUCAGCCACCUGAUUGGAACCUACCCUUUGAAAUUAUGUGUGAUGCUAGUGAUUAUGUUGUAGGUGUUGUUCUAGGGCAAAGAGUUGAUAAGAAAUUAAAUGUUAUUCAUUAUGCUAGUAAGACUCUAGACAAUGCUCAAAGAAAUUAUGCUACUACUGAAAAAGAACUCUUAGCAGUUGUAUUUGCUUGUGAUAAGUUCAGAUCUUAUAUUGUUCAUUCUAAAGUAACUAUUCAAACUGAUCAUGCUGCCAUUAAAUAUCUUAUGGAAAAGAAAGAUGCUAAACCUAGACUUAUUAGAUGGGUUAUCUUGCUACAAGAAUUUGAUUUGCAUAUUGUUGAUAGAAAGGGAGCUGAGAACCCCGUUGCAGACAACUUGUCUAGGUUAGAAAAUAUUCUUGAUGACCCACUACCUAUUAAAGAUAGCUUUCCUGAUGAACAAUUAAAUGUUAUAAGUACUUCUCGUAGUACUCCAUGGUAUGCUGAUUAUGUUAAUUAUAUUGUUGCUAAGUUUAUACCACCUAGCUUCACAUACCAGCAAAAGAAAAAGUUUUUCUAUGAUUUAAGACAUUACUUUUGGGAUGACCCACAUCUUUAUAAAGAAGGAGUAGAUGGUGUUAUUAGACGUUGUGUACCUGAGCAUGAACAGGAACAGAUCCUACGCAAGUGCCAUUCCGAGGCUUAUGGAGGACACCACGCUGGAGAUAGAACUGCACAUAAGGUAUUGCAAUCUGGUUUUUAUUGGCCUACUCUCUUCAAAGAUGCCCGUAAGUUUGUCUUGUCUUAUGAUGAAUGUCAAAGAAUUGGUAAUAUUAGUAGACGUCAAGAAAUGCCUAUGAAUUAUUCUCUUGUUAUUGAACCAUUUGAUGUUUGGGGUUUGAUUAUAUGGGACCUUUUCCUGCCUCUAAUGGAUACACACAUAUUCUAGUUGCUGUUGAUUACGUUACUAAGUGGGAAAAAGCUAUUCCAACUAGUAGUGCUGAUCAUAACACUUCCAUUAAAAUGCUUAAGGAAGUUAUCUUCACGAGGUUUGGAGUCCCUAGAUAUUUAAUGACUGAUGGUGGUUCACACUUUAUUCAUGGUGCUUUCCGUAAAAUGCUUGCUAAAUAUGAUGGUAAUCAUAGAAUUGCAUCUCCUUAUCACCCUCAGUCUAGUGGUCAAGUAGAGUUGAGCAAUAGAGAGCUCAAAUUAAUUUUGCAAAAGACUGUUAAUAGGUCUAGAAAGAAUUGGUCCAAGAAACUUGAUGAUGCAUUAUGGGCCUAUAGAACUGCAUACAAAAAUCCUAUGGAUAUGUCUCCGUAUAAAAUGGUCUAUGGAAAAGCAUGUCACUUACCUCUCGAACUAGAACACAAGGCUUAUUGGGCUAUUAAAGAGCUCAAUUAUAAUUUUAAACUUGCCGGUGAGAAGAGGUUAUUUGAUAUUAGCUCACUUGAUCAAUGGAGAACCCAAGCUUAUGAAAAUGCCAAGUUGUUUAAAGAAAAAGUUAAAAGAUGGCAUGACAAAAGGAUACAAAAGCGUGAGUUUAAUAUAGGUGAUUAUGUAUUGCUAUACAACUCUCGUUUAAGAUUUUUUUGCAGGAAAACUUCUCUCUAAAUGGGAAGUCCCCUAUGUUAUCGAAGAGGUCUAUCGUUCCGGUGCCAUAAAGAUCAACAACUUCGAAGGCACAAAUCCGAAGAUUGUAAACGGUCAAAGAAUCAAACAUUAUAUCUCAGGUAAUCCCAUAAAUGUUGAAACCAAUAUUAUUGAAACUGUAACCCCAGAGGAAUACAUAAGAGACACUUUCCGGAACGUUUUAGACUCCGGAAAGGAAUAGGUAUGUGGUACGGUAAGGAAACCGACUCCAAAACAAUUUUAAGGCAAUAUUUCUCUGUUUUGGAAUAUUUAGAAAAAUAGAAAAAUAAGUAGCAGUCUACCCCCUGGGUAUGAGGGUGGUGGGCGCGCCCUACCCCCUGGGCGCGCCCCCUACCUCGUGAGCACCUCGUGUGCCUUCCGGACUCCGUUUUCUUGCACGUUAUGUAUUUUGGUCGGUAAAAAUUCAUUAUAUAUUCUCCCGAAGGUUUUGACUCCCGUAUCACGCAAAUUCCUUCUGUUUUUGUUUUCGAGCUGUUGCUGCUGCAGAUUAGAGCAAGAUGUCUUCUCAAGAGUCAAUCGGGGAGAGCCGGGUAUCUAAUCCGACACCGGAAUCAAGGGCAAACAGCGAUGCUGACCAUUUUGGGCCAGCAACGGAGGAAGAGAUGGAGGCUGACUUGAUGAGAGUAGAUGCUACGGAGGAUCAAGAAGUCACCUCUCGCCUCCGAGUUGGGUUCACAAUGGGGGAACUACAGAGCUCAGCUAUUCCAAACUCGGUUAUCCCUUCUAAUGUUAGAUUUCUUACCUAUGAAAAUAUGAAGAGGAGUGUCACUUGUUCUCCUGCAGCUAUGCAACACCCUUGGGUGCAAGGAUCUUUAGCUGUCACAGGAAAGCUUCGUAAGGAAAUAAUGGACCUCAAACAUCAAGUCAAUAAGCUCGAGGAAGAGAACCGCAUCCUGAGGGGAAUCAUCGCCAAGAAUAUUACACCGACAACAAAGAAGGAGACAUAAUCACAUGGGUAUGGGCACUCCCCUUGGCAACUGCCAAGCUUGGGGGAGGUGCCCCGGUAUCGUAUCACAAUCACAACUCCUAUCUUUACCGUUUUUCUUAGUUCGAUCCUAUUAGUAGUAUCUUGAUCUAGUAGAAUAAAGUUUAUGGCAUGAUCUAGUUUUGAGUUUGCUUUAUGAUCUCUCUAUGUAAUCGAGUCCGUGAGCUAUAUAUAAUAAAGAUUAGUGUUGAGUUAAGUGCUUGAUUAUUUUGCCAUGAUCUUGGGUGAAUAAAAGAAAAGAGAAAAAGAAUAAAAAGAAACAAAGAGUUCAUAUUGAUCUUAUUGAGAGUAAUGACUUCACAUAGAAAGAGUAUGAUGAUUAAAAGUUGUUGGGAGUUGGCAAACAUAGCUUUGGUCAUUGUUGCAAUUAAUAGGAAGUAAUAAGGAAAGAGAGGUUUUCACAUAUAGAUAUAUUAUCAUUGACAUCUUUCAUGAUUGGGAGCACUCAUUAAAAUAUGACAUGCUAAAGAGUUGAUGUUGGACAAGGAAGACAAUGUAAUGAGUUAUGUAUUUCUUAUAUCUGAGAUAAAGUAUGUUGUCAUGGAUCCUCUAACUUGUUGAGCUUGCCUUUCCCCCUCAUGCUAGCCAAAUUCUCAGCACCAAGUAGAAAUACUACUUGUGCUUCCAAAUACCCUUAAACCAGUUUUGCCAUGAGAGUCCACCAUAUCUACCUAUGGAUUGAGUAAGAUCCUUCAAGUAAGUUGUCAUCGGUGCAAAGCAAUAAAAAUUGCUCUAAAUAUGUAUGAUUGAUUGGUGUGGGAGAAAUAAGAUUUAUACGAUCUUGUGAUGUGGAAGUAAUAAAAGCGACGGACUGCAUAAUAAAGGUUCAUAUCACAAGGGGCAAUAUAAAGUGACGUUCUUUCGCAUUGAGAUUUUAUACAUCCAACCAUAAAAGCGCAUGGCAACCUCUUCUUCCCUCUGCGAAGGGCUUAUCCUUUAUUACUAUCUUCUACCUUAUGCAAGAGUCAUGGUGAUCUUCACCUUUUCUUUUUCAUUUUAUCCUUUGGCAAGAGCAUGAACCAUUAUUGUUGACAUUACCCUUGAGGUAAAAGGUUGUGGGGCAAAACUAUAAGCCCCUAGCUUUCUCUGUGUCCGAUUAAAACUUCAUAACCACAAGUAUCGCGUGAGUUUUAGCAAUUAUGGAGGACUAAAUGAUAGUUGAGUAUGUGGACUUGUUUUUUAGCUCUGACAUAGACUCUUUCCGAUGUUAUGAUAAAUUGCAAUUGUUUCAAUGACUGAGAUUAUAGUUUGUCGGAGCCCAAUAAGGUUUAUGAUUUAUACUUUUGCAUGGUGAAUAGAUCAUCACUUGAACAUAAGUAAUCAUAUGACAAAAUCUAUAUAUGUUGUUGUUAUGAGAAUAAUCAUGAUGCCUUCAUGUCCGUAUUUUAUUUUUAUCGACGCCUCUACCUCUAAACACGAGGACAUAUUUAUUGUUAUCCGCUUUUCGCUUGAGGACAAGCGAGGUCUAAGCUUGGGGGAGUUGAUACGUCCAUUUUGCAUCAUGCUUUUAUAUCGAUAUUUAUCGCAUCAUGGACUGUUAUUUCACUUUAUAUCACAAUACUUAUGGCUAUUCUCUCUUAUUUUACAAGGUUUACAUAAGGAGGGAGAAUGCCGGCAGCUAGAAUUCUGGGCUGGAAAAGGAGCAAAUAUUAGAGACCUAUUCUGCGCAACUCCAAAAGUCCUGAAACUCCACGGAACAUCUUAAAAUAAAUAAAGAAAAAUCAUCACCAAAGAUGAAGGCCAGGGGGCCCACACCCUGCUCACGAGGGUGGGCAGCGCCCCCCCACCCUAGGGCGCGCCCCCCUACCUCGUGGGCCCCCUAGUGGCUCUCCGACGCCCAUCUUCUCAUAUAUGAAGUCUUUCGAUGAGAAAAAAAUAAGAAGGAACUUUUCGGGACGAGACUCCGCCGCCACGAGGCGGAACCUUGGCGGAUCCAAUCUAGAGCUCCGGCAGAGCUGUUCUGCCGGGGAUACUUCCCUCCGGGAGGGGGAAAUCAUCACCAUCCUCAUCACCAAUGCUCCUCUCAUCGGGAGAGGGCAAUCUCCAUCAACAUCUUCACCAGCACCAUCUCAUCUCCAAACCCUAGUUCAUCUCUUGUACCCAAUUCUUGUCUCACAGUCCGGGAUUGGUGCUAGUAGGUUGCUAGUAGUGUUGAUUACUCCUUGUAGUUGAUGCUAGUUGGUUUAUUUUGUGGAAGAUCAUAUGUUCAGAUCCUAUAUGCAUAUUAUUACCCCUCUGAUUAUGAACAUGAAUAUUCUUUGUGAGUAAUUACGUUUGUUCCUGAGGACAAGGGAGAAGUCUUGCUAUUAGUAGUCAUGUGAAUUUGGUAUUCGUUUGAUAUUUUGAUAAGAUGUAUGUUGUCUAGCCUCUACUGGUGUUAUGUGAACGUCGACUACAUAACACUUCACCAUUAUUCGGGCCUAGAGGAAGGCAUUGGGAAGUAAUAAGUAGAUGAUGGGUUGCUAGAGUGACAGAAGCUUAAACCCUAGUUUAUGCGUUGCUUCGUAAGGGGCUGAUUUGGAUCCAUAUGUUUCAUGUUAUGGUUAGGUUUACCUUAAUAUUUUUGUUGUAGUUGCGGAUGCUUGCAAUAGAGGUUAAUCAUAAGUGGGAUGCUUGUUCAAGUAAGAACAGCACCCAAGCACCGGUGCAUCCACAUAUCAAAUUAUCAAAGUAUCGAACGCGAAUCAUAUGAACGUGAUGAAAACUAGCUUGACGAUAUUCCCAUGUGUCCUUGGGAGCGCUUUUCCUAUUAUAAGAGUUUGUUCCGGCUUGUCCUUUGCUACAAAAGGAUUGGACCACCUUGCUGCACUUUAUUUACUUUUGUUACUUGUUGCUCGUUACAAUUUAUCCUAGCACAAAACUAUCUGUUACCACUUAUUUCAGUACUUGCAGAGAAUACCUUGCUGAAAACCGCUUAUCCUUUCCUUGUGCUCCUCAUUGGGUUUGACACUCUUACUUAUCGAAAGGACUAUGAUAGAUCCCCUAUACUUGUGAGUCAUCACUGCCGUCGCUGGUGCUCUUACCGAAGGAGGAGCCACCAUUGCUGGAGGUGGCGCAACCGUCGCCAAGGGCAAGCUCACCCUCCUCCUCGUCGCGACCGUCACGAGGGGCAAGCUCGUCAUCCCCGCCACCAUCCUCCGGGCAGCACCCCGCACGACGGCCGUCUUCCCCAAACACCCUCAUGUAGAGGGUCGCAAGGCCGUCAUACUUGAAGUGGAGGGUGCGCCUCCCACUUAGACCCCGCGCUGGGGCAAACGGCUGCCAACCGCGGGUCAAGGACAUGUCGCCCGCGGCCGUGACUUCGACCCCCACCCAUGAGUCCUUGUUGCAGCAGCCGUUAGCCUGCAGCUAGAGGCCAUCAAGCCCCGCGGUCGGCAGCGCACCCGCGAAGAAGUGCGGGAGCGGGAGCCAGAUGCCAGCUGGUCUCUCUGACCACACGACGAACUCCGGGAACGCAUCCGCCGAGUGAGAGUGCGGUCGAGGAGGCCGGGCGACCACAGCGCGCAUCCCCUCAUCGCAGGAGCUGCCCCGUCCUCGGUGGCUCCCAUCGCAAGAGGAAGCGCCGCCGUGACUGCUUGAGGAGGCGCCUGCUCUCAAAGAGGUGUGCCCGCGCCCCCGAGGAGCCACCACCGGGGUCGUGUUGUACUUGCGGGGGCGUCUACGGCCUCUCUUGGGAGGUGGCGAACCCGACCCCUCCUUGGGGGCCUUCCACUUCUCCGCGGCGGAGAACCUCCUCGUUGGCGCCAUGGACACUUUGGCAAGAUGGCGAGACCAGGAAGAAGAAGGAAGAGCGAGCGGCAAGAAGAAGGAGAUGAGCAAGGGGCUCUGCCCCUCCCCCCAUUUAUAGCCAAAGGGAGGCCAACCGCCGGCCUCCAUGAUCCCCAGUUGUCGGUGUCAAAACCGGCGGAUCUCGGGUAGGGGGUCCCAAACUGUGCGUCUGAAAGAUCGUGGAUGUCACCUAAAGGGGGGUGAAUAGGCGUUUUAAAAUAAUUAUGAUUUAGGCUUGAACAAAUGCGGAAUAAACCUAGCGGUUAAUUUGUCAAGCACAAAACCUAAAACAACUAGGCUCACCUAUGUGCACCAACAACUUAUGCUAAGCAAGAUAAGCAACUAUGCGAUAGCAAGAUAUAUGACAAGAAACAAUACGGCUAUCACAAAGUAAAGUGCAUAAGUAAAGAGCUCGGGUAAGAGAUAACCGAGGCAUACGGAGACGACGAUGUAUCCCGAAGUUCACACCCUUGCGGAUGCUAAUCUCCGUUUGGAGCGGUGUGGAGGCACAAUAUCCCUAAGAAGCCACUAGGGCCACCGUAAUCUCCUCACGCCCUCGCACAAUGCAAGAUGCCGUGAUUCCACUAAGGGACCCUUGAGGGCGGUCACCGAACUCGUACAAAUGGCAACCCUUGGGGGCGGUCACCGAACCCGUACACUUUGGCAACCCUUGGGGGCGGUCACCGGUACCCGUCAAAUUGCUCGGGGCGAUCUCCACAACCUAAUUGGAGACCCCGACACUUGCCCGGAGCUUUACACCACAAUGAUUGAGCUCCGAACAACACCAACCGUCUAGGGCGCCAAGGCACCCAAGAGGAACAAGCUCUAGGGUGCCCAAACACCCAAGAGUAAUAAGCUUCUCAAACUUCACUUCCACGUAUCACCAUGGAGAACUCAAACCGAUGCACCAAAUGCAAUGGCAAGGGCACACGGAGUGCCCAAGUCCUACUCUCUCAAAUCCCACCGGAGCAACUAAUGCUAGGGGGGAAAAUGAGAGGAAGAACAAGAAGGAGAACACCAAGAACUCCAAGAUCUAGAUCCAAGGGAUUCCCCUCACAUAGAGGAGAAAGUGAUUGGUGGAAAUGUGGAUCUAGAUCUCCUCUCUCUUUUCCCUCAAAAACUAGCAAGAAUUCAUGGAGGGAUUGAGAGUUAGCAAGCUCAAACAAGGUCAACAAUGGGGGAAGAACACGAGCUCGAAAGGUUAGGUUCAAUGGGGAAGAAGACCCCCUUUUAUAGGAGGGGGAAAAUCCAACCGUUAUGUGCUCAGCCCGCACACGAGCGGUACUACCGCUCCUGGUCCCGGUACAACCGGGACUCACAGUAUACGUGCAGAACCCUACCAGGCGGUACAAUCGGGCGAUCAGGCGGUAGCACCGGUUGAGAAGAACAACCGGACCAACCGCCCAGCCACCGCUCAACCACCGCAUAGGAACAGAAGGGAGUCACCCCUGAGUGCGGUAGUCGAGCGGUACCGGGCCGGUGCAACCGCAUGGCCUUGAGCGUUCGGGCGGCUAAGUCCUGAGCGGUCGAACCGGGCCACCACCGCCCGAGUACCGCAUCAAAACAGAGGCCUGACCGGUACUUGGGCGGUGCCUGGCCGGAACAACCGCCCAAGUCUUUGCUGAGCAAGUUGGCGGUACCACCGCCCGGAAGCAGUGGUACAACGGCUAAGAGCUCCAAGCGGUACUACCGCUGGGGCAUGCGGUACUACCGCUGGGACCGGACAAAAACCACUCUCAAGAAAACCAGAACUGCCAUAACUUCUGCAUAUGAGCUCUGAAUUGAGCAAACUCAAGCUUGUUGGAAACAAGACGACCAGUAGCAUCAAAACAGAGGAAUGAAACCUCCAACCGAGAAGAACCAGGGGAGGUAUGCCAACAAAUAGAGGAGUGAAACCUCCAACCGAGAAGAACCAGCAAAACCUCCAACAUCGAAAACAUCAUAGAAAAUGCAUGUGAACUCCGUUUUCAAUGAACUCGAGCUUGUCAUCAAGAUGAUCAUAAGCUCUAAGACUCACAAAGAGAACCAAACAAGAACCAAGAAAGAUGAUGCAAGGAUGCAAUGGUUUGAGCUCUCUACGAACGAUACGAUCAAGAUACUCAUCAAGAGCCCCGCUUGAUAGUACGGCAAUCGAUCCUAUAACCCGGUCUCCCAACUACCAUCAUGAGACCGAUAAAAUAGAAAAACUAUCAAGGGCAAACCUUUGCCUUGCACAUGGUCCACUUGAGCUAGAUGAUGACAAUCUUGACUCCCUCAAGUUGGACCACCUUUCUUGAUUGUGUUGACUCGAUGAAGACUAGUUGAUUGCUCCCCCAUACUCCACUAUGGGUGAGCCACUCUUCCGCACAUCUUCACAAGUCCAUUAUCACCACAAAGGACGGCAAGCUUCAAGCAUUUGAUCUCUUCGUGAUGCUCCACUUGAACUUGCACACCGCAACCUAACCCCACAAAGAACUCUCACGAAGACCAUGGGUUAGUACACAAAGCGUAAUUGACAAUUCUUACCAUACCAUGGGAUCACUUGAUCCCUCUCGGUACAUAUUCUGCGCUUUGUGAGUUGAUCAACUUGAUUCACUCUUGACUUAGUCUUGAUCAUCCUUGAACCUUUCCAAUUAUCUUCAUUUGAAUGAUGUCUUGAAGGUAGACAUGAAUGAUCACACAAUCUUCUUCUUCAAGACAUGCUUGCAAUAAGCUUAACUCUCACAUGACCAAUCUUUGGAUAAUUCCUUGAAUAACACCUUGGUCGACACAAACUCUCCUUGAAACCAACACAUGUACUCCAAGAAAAGCCUAUGGACAAAACCUUCAAAUAUAACUCAAGGCAACCAUUAGUCCAUAGAGAUUGUCAUCAAUUACCAAAACCAAACAUGGGGGCACCGCAUGUUCUUUCAGCGUCUAAGGUGGAUGGUAACAGGAGGCAGGGGACACAAUGUUUACCCAAGUUCGGGCCCUCUCGAUGGAGAUAAUACCCUACGUCCUGCUUGAUUAAUCUUUAUGAUAUGAGUAUUACAAGAGUUGAUCUACCACAAGAUCGUAGAGGCUAAACCCUAGAAGCUAGCUGAUACGUCUCCAACGUAUCUAUAAUUUUUGAUUGCUCCAUGCUAUAUUAUCUACUGUUUUGGACAUUAUUGGGCUUUAUUAUCCACUUUUAUAUACCGGAGGCCCAGCCCAGAAUUGUUGUUUUUUGCCUGUUUUAGGGUUUCGAAGAAAAGGAAUAUCAAACGGAGUCCAAACAGAAUGAAACCUUCGGGAAUGUGAUUUUCUCAACGAACAUGACCCAGGAGACUUGGACCCUACGUCAAGACACAAAAGAGGAGGCCACAAGGUAGGGGGCNNNNNNNNNNNNNNNNNNNNNNNNNNNNNNNNNNNNNNNNNNNNNNNNNNNNNNNNNNNNNNNNNNNNNNNNNNNNNNNNNNNNNNNNNNNNNNNNNNNNNNNNNNNNNNNNNNNNNNNNNNNNNNNNNNNNNNNNNNNNNNNNNNNNNNNNNNNNNNNNNNNNNNNNNNNNNNNNNNNNNNNNNNNNNNNNNNNNNNNNNNNNNNNNNNNNNNNNNNNNNNNNNNNNNNNNNNNNNNNNNNNNNNNNNNNNNNNNNNNNNNNNNNNUACUCCUUCCUCCUAUAUAUACCUACGUACCCCCAAACGAUCAGAUACGGAGCCAAAACCCUAACUCCACCGCCGCAACUUUCUGUAUCCACGAGAUCCCAUCUUGGAGGGCUUCUACAUCGAUCACGGAGGGCUUCUACAUCAACACCAUAGCCCCUCCGAAAAAGUGUGAGUAGUUCACCUCAGACCUACGGGUCCAUAGUUAGUAGCUAGAUAGCUUCUUCUCUCUUUUUGGAUCUCAAUACAAUGUUCUCCCCCUCUCUUGUGGAGAACUACUCGAUGUAAUCUUCUUUUUUGCGGUGUGUUUGUUGAGACCGAUGAAUUGUGGGUUUAUGAUCAAUUCUAUCUAUGAACAAUAUUUGAAUCUUCUCUGAAUUCUUUUAUGUAUGAUUGGUUAUCUUUGCAAGUCUCUUCGAAUUAUCAGUUUGGUUUGGCCUACUAGAUUGAUCUUUCUUGCAAUGGGAGAAGUGCUUGGCUUUGGGUUCAAUCUUGCGGUGUCCUUUCCCAGUGACAGUAGGGGCAGCAAGGCAUGUAUUGUAUUGUUACCAUCGAGGAUAACAAGAUGGGGUUUUCAUCAUAUUGCAUGAGUUUAUCCCUCUACAUCAUGUCAUCUUGCUUAAGGCAUUACUCUGUUUUCAUUAACUUAAUACUCUAGAUGCAUCCUGGAUAGCGGUCGAUGAGUGGAGUAAUAGUAGUAGAUGCAGGCAGGAGUCGGUCUACUUGUCUCGGACGUGAUGCCUAUAUACAUGAUCAUACCUCAAGAUGGCAAUGGGGCCCCGAAACCCGCAUCCCAUGGGUUUUUACCCUAUUAGGGGACGGGGAUGGGUGUCUUUUCAUCCCCGCGGGGCUGUUGUUGGGCACAUUAUACAACCCGACACGUUUCGUGGGUUUGCACCCGUUUCAAUAGUCCCCGAACCCGAAGCCCGGUAAACCCGGCAAAAUACAUUUUUUACCAAGCAUUUUCUUUACAUAUCAUCAUAAAGUUUAUCAUUAUCUUGCUGCAAUGUUUCAUAAGAUGUUCAUUACUACUUAUUUGAUUCUCAUAUGUAAUUGCAUAUCUUGUUGAACCAUGUAUGGCUGAAAUUUGCUCAUCUUUGUUGCUGAAAUGUGGUAUCAUGCCGUUGAAAUACAUUCUAUAUAGCUAUUGAACCAUCUACUAUUAUUUUUUGUUAAAAUUUGCUCAAGUUAUGAUGCUGAGAUGUGCUUGUUUUGCUGCUGAAAUGUUAUUCUUUGUCGCCACUAUGUUUGUUUGAAUAUUUUGAUUUUCUCGUGGGUUCCCCGAAACCCGAUGGGUUUAGGGGACGGGCAGAAAACUAUCCCCGCGCAUGGUGAUGGGGACGGGGAUGGGUUUACGAUUUUCUCGUGGGGAUGGGUUUGGGAAGGCAAAACCCGAUGGGUUUCGUCCCCAUUGCCAUCUUGAAUCAUACCUAGAUAUUCUCAUAACUAUGCUCAAUUCUGUCAAUUGCUCAACAGUAAUUUGUUCACCCAUCGUAGAAUACUUAUGAUCUCGAGAGAAGCCACUAGUGAAACGUAUGGCCCCGGGGUCUAUCUUCAUCAUAUUAAUCUCCUACUACUUAGUUAUUUCCUUUGCUUUUAUUUUACUUUGCAUCUUUAUCACAAAAAUACCAAAAAUAUUAUCUUAUCAUAUCUAUCAGAUCUCACUCUCGUAAGUGGCCGUGUAGGGAUUGACAACCCCUUAUCGCGUUGGUUGCGUGGAUUUAUUUGUUUUGUGCAGGUGCGAGGGACUCGCGCGUAGCCUCCUACUGGAUUGAUACCUUGGUUCUCAAAAACUGAGGGAAAUACUUACGCUACUUUGCUGCAUCAUCCCUUCCUCUUCGGGGAAAACCAACGCAGUGUUCAAGAGGUAGCAAGAAGGAUUUCUGGCGCCGUUGCCGGGGAGGUCUACGCAAAAGUCAAUAUACCAAGGACCCAUCACAUACCCUUAUCUCCCGCACUACAUUAUUUGCCAUUUUCCUCUCGUUUUCCUCUCCCCCACUUCACCCUUGCCGUUUUAUUUGCCCUCUCUCUCUAUCCCCCUUCUCUUUCCUGUUUGCCUCUUUUUGCCCGCUUGCUUUUUGUUUGCUUGUGCGUUAGUUCAUUUGCUUGUCGUUAUGGCUAGUCUCUUAUCUUUUCCGUUAUCUCCCGAGAAUGAAAUUCUAAAUUUUAAGCAAAGGGAGGGGGGAAAUCUAAAAGAUGCUUGGUAUAGAAUUUGCAAUGCUCAAAAUAGAUCUACCAGGAAGCAAUCUACUUCCGCUCUUCUUUGCAAUUUUUAUGUAGGCAUUACUCCUUGGCACAGAUAUGUCCUUGAAAAUAUUACUGGAGGGAACUUCUUGGGUAGCCAUACUUUUGAUUCUUAUAAUGCUAUGAUAGAUUUGUUUGGCUCACCCCCUCUUUUGGUUAAUGGAACUGUAUUAACUUUGGAGCAUGUAAUGCAAAGACUUGAAAUUAUUGAAAAUAAGGUUGCUACCAUAGAGUUAAUUGAAAAUUUGGAUAAAAAGAUCCACAACCGAAUCUCUCAAUAUGGAUCUAAAGUCCGAGUCACUUAAAAAUAUUAAAGAGAAGGAACCCAUAGUUAAUGAGAAAAUAAAUAACGAUUCCACUAGAAUUGAUAAACUUGAGGAUGUUAUUACCAACUUGGGAACCGUUUUUUCUUACGUAAAGAAUACUCCAAGUCCUCCCGCUAAAAUUGCGAAGCUUAUGUAUGUUCCAAAAAAUAAGGGUGAAUCCUCUAGUAAGGAAACUACGGAUCUCAAAUAUAUAAGUGUUCAUCCCAAUAUUUUUGCUAUCAUUAAGGAACCAUUUGUUACAAAUGAUUUUUUCAAUCUUGUGCCUAAAAGUUUGAUAAUCAAUAAAAAUAAAGAAAUUCCUAAAGAUGGUAGAUGCCUCAUUGAAGAAUUGCCUACCAAAGAUGGCAAUACCUAGAUCUAUCCUUGCUUGUUAUGCCUAGUUAGGGGCGUUAAACAAUAGCGCUUGUUGGGAGGCAACCCAAUUUUAUUUUUAUUCCUUGCUUUUUGCUCCUGUUUAGUAAUAAAUAAUUUAUCUAUCCUCUGUUUUUGUUGUGUUUUUUGUGUUUAAUUAGUGUUUGUGCCAAGUAGAACCGUUGGGAAGACUUGGGGAAAGUCUUGUUACACUUGCUGUAAAAAAACAGAAACUUUAGCGCUCACGAGAACUGAUGCCAUUUUUAUUUGGAAAGUGCUAUUUAGUUAAUUCUUUUUUCAGAUGAUUAAUAGAUAAAUUCCUCACGUCCAGAAAUUUAUUUUAGAAUUUUUGGAGUUCCAUAUCUUGCGCUAGCUACAGAUUACUACAGACUGUUCUGUUUUUGACAGAUUCUGUUUUUCGUGUGUUGUUUGCUUAUUUUGAUGGAUCUAUGGCUAGUAAAAUAGUUUAUAAACCAUAGAGAAGUUGGAAUACAGUAGUUUUAACACCAAUAUAAAUAAAUAAUGAGUUCAUUACAGUACCUUGAAGUGGUCUUUUGUUUUGUUUCGCUAACAGAGCUCACGAAAUUUCCUACUUUGAGUUUUGUGUUGUGAAGUUUUCAAGUUUUGGGUAAAGAUUUGAUGGAUUGUGGAACAAGGAGUGGAAAGAGCCUAAACUUGGGGAUGCCCAUGGCACCCCCAAGAUAAUCUAAGGACACCUAAAAGCCAAAGCUUGGGGAUGCCCCGGAAGGCAUCCCCUCUUUCGUCUACUUCUAUCGGCAACUUUACUUGGAGCUAUAUUUUUAUUCGCCACAUGAUAUGUGUUUUGCCUGGAGCGUCUUGUAUGAUUUGAGUCUUUACUUUUUAGUUUACCACAAUCAUCCUUGCUGUACACACCUUUUGAGAGAGCCAUACAUGAUUUGGAAUUUGUUAGAAUACUCUAUGUGCUUCGCUUAUAUCUUUUGAAUUAUAUAGUUUUGCUCUAGUACUUCACUUAUAUCUUUUAGAGCACGGUGGUGGAUUUGCUUUAUAGAAACUAUUGAUCUCUCAUGCUUCACUUAGAUUAUUUUGAGAGUCUUAAAUAUCAUGGUAAUUUGCUUAAAAUCCUAAUAUGCUAGGUAUACAAGAUUAAUAAUAAAACUUUCUUAUGAGUGUGUUGAAUACUAUGAGAAGUUUGAUGCUUGAUAAUUGUUUUGAGAUAUGAAGAUGGUGAUAUUAAAGUUGUACUAGUUGAGUAGUUGUGAAUUUGAAGAAUACUUCUGUUAAAAUUUGUGAUUCCUGUAGCAUGCACGUAUGGUGAACCGUUAUGUGAUGAAGUCGGAGCAUGAUUUAUUUAUUGAUUGUCUUCCUUAUGAGUGGUGGUCGGGGAUGAGCGAUGGUCUUUUCCUACCAAUCUAUCCCCCUAGGAUCAUGCGCGUAAUACUUUUCUUUGAUAACUUGUAGAUUUUUGCAAUAAGUAUAUGAGUUCUUUAUGACUAAUGUUGAGUCCAUGGAUUAUACGCGCUCUCACCCUUCCACCAUUGCUAUCCUCUCUAAUACCGCGCACCUUUCGCCAGUAUCAUACACCCACCAUAUACCUUCCUCAAAUCAGCCACCAUACCCAUUAUGGCAUUUCCAUAGCCAUUCCGAGAUAUAUUGCCAUGCAACUUUCCACCAUUCCGUUUAUUAUGACACACUCCAUCAUGUAGUUGACAUAGUAUUUGUGGCAAAGCCACCAUUCAUAAUUCUUUCAUACAUGUCACUAAUGAGUCAUUGCAUAUCCCGGUACACCGCCGGAGGCAUUCAUAUAGAGUCAUAUUUUGUUCUAAGUAUCGAGUUGUAAUUGUUGAGUUGUAAGAAAAUAAAAGUGUGAUGAUGAUCAUUAUUAGAGCAUUGUCCCAGUGAGGAAAGGAUGAUGGAGACUAUGGUUCCCCCACAAGUCGGGAUGAGACUCCAGACGUAAAAUAAAAAAAUAAAAAUAAAAAAGAAGAAAAGAGGCCAUAAAAAAGGGAGAAAAGGCCCAAAUAAAAAAAUGAGAGAAAAAGAGAGAAGGGGCAAUGCUACUAUCCUUUUACCACACUUGUGCUUCAAAGUAGCACCAUGAUAUUCAUAGUAGAGAGUCUCUCAUUUCGUCACUUUCAUAUACUAGUGGGAAAUUUUCAUUAUAGAACUUGGCUUGUAUAUUCCAAUGAUGGGCUUCCUCAAAAUGCCCUAGGUCUUCAUGAGCAAGCAAGUUGGAUGCACGCCCACUUAGUUUAUUUUUGAGCUUUUAUAUACUUAUAGCUCUAGUGCAUUCGUUGCAUGGAAAUCCCUACUCACUCACAUUGAUAUCUAUUGAUGGGCAUCUCCAUAGCCCGUUGAUACGUCUAGUUGAUGUGAGACUAUCUUCUCCCUUUUUGUCUUCUCCACAACCACCAUUAUAUUCCACCUAUAGUGUUAUAUCCAUGGCUCAUUCUCAUGUAUUGCGUGAAGAUUGAAAAAGUUUUGAGAAUGUCAAAAGUAUGAAACAAUUGCUUGGCUUGUCAUCGGGGUUGUGCAUGAUUUAAAUACUUUGUGUGGUGAAGAUAGAGUAUAGUCAGACUAUAUGAUUUUGUAGGGAUAACUUUCUUUGGCCAUGUUAUUUUGAGAAGACAUAAUUGCUUUGUUAGUAUGCUUGAAGUAUUAUUAUUUUUAUGUCAAUAUGAACUUUUGUCUUGAAUCUUUCGGAUCUGAAUAUUCAUACCACAAUUAAGAAGAAUUACAUUAAAAUUAUGCCAAGUAGCACUCCGCAUCAAAAAUUCUGUUUUUAUCAUUUACCUACUCGAGGACGAGCAGGAAUUAAGCUUGGGGAUGCUUGAUACGUCUCCAACGUAUCUAUAAUUUUUGAUUGUUGCAUGCUAUAUUAUCUACUGUUUUGGACAUUAUUGGGCUUUAUUAUCCACUUUUAUAUUAUUUUUGGGACUAACCUAUUAACCGGAGGCCCAGCCCAGAAUUGAUGUUUUUGCCUGUUUUAGGGUUUCGAAGAAAAGGAAUAUCAAACGGAGUCCAAACGGAAUGAAACCUUCGGGAACAUGAUUUUCUCAACGAACAAGACCCAGGAGACUUGGACCCUACGUCAAGACACAAAAGAGGAGGCCACGAGGUAGGGGGCGCGCCUACCCCCCCCCCCCCAGGCGUGCCCUCCACCCUCGUGGGCCCCCUGCUACUCCACCAACGUACUCCUUCCUCCUAUAUAUACCUACAUACCCCCAAACGAUCAGAUACGGAGCCAAAACCCUAAUUCCACCGCCGCAACUUUCUGUAUCCACGAGAUCCCUUCUUGGGGCCUGUUCUGGAGCUCCGCCGGAGGGGGCAUCGAUCACGGAGGGCUUCUACAUCAACACCAUAGCCCCUCUGAUGAAGUGUGAGUAGUUCACCUCAGACCUAUGGGUCCAUAGUUAGUAGCUAGAUGGCUUCUUCUCUCUUUUUGGAUCUUAAUACAAUGUUCUUCCCCUCUCUUGUGGAGAACUAUUCGAUGUAAUCUUCUUUUUGCGGUGUGUUUGUUGAGAUCGAUGAAUUGUGGGUUUAUGAUCAAGUCUAUCUAUGAACAAUAUUUGAAUCUUCUCUGAAUUCUUUUAUGUAUGAUUGGUUAUCUUUGCAAGUCUCUUUGAAUUAUCAGUUUGGUUUGGCCUACUAGAUUGAUCUUUCUUGCAAUGGGAGAAGUGCUUAGCUUUGGGUUCAAUCUUGCGGUGUCCUUUCCCAGUGACAGUAGGGGCAGCAAGGCACGUAUUCUAUUGUUGCCAUCGAGGAUAACAAGAUGGGGUUUUCAUCAUAUUGCAUGAGUUUAUCCCUCUACAUCAUGUCAUCUUGCUUAAGGCGUUACUCUAUUUUCAUUAACUUAAUACUCUAGAUGCAUGCUGGAUAGCGGUCGAUGAGUGGAGUAAUAGUAGUAGAUGUAGGCAGGAGUCGGUCUACUUGUCUCGGACGUGAUGCCUAUAUACAUGAUCAUACCUAGAUAUUCUCAUAACUAUGCUCAAUUCUGUCAAUUGCUCAACAGUAAUUUGUUCACCCACCGUAGAAUACUUAUGCUCUCGAGAGAAACCGCUAGUGAAACUUAUGGCCCCCGGGUCUAUCUUCAUCAUAUUAAUCUCCUACUACUUAGUUAUUUCCUUUGCUUUUUUUUACUUUGCAUCUUUAUCACAAAAAUACCAAAAAAAUUAUCUUAUCAUAUCUAUCAGAUCUCACUCUCGUAAGUGGCCGUGUAGGGAUUGACAACCCCUUAUCGCGUUGGUUGCGAGGAUUUAUUUGUUUUGUGCACGUGCGAGGGACUCGUGCAUAGCCUCCUACUGGAUUGAUACCUUGGUUCUCAAAAACUGAGGGAAAUACUUAUGCUACUUUGCUACAUCAUCCCUUCCUCUUCGGGGAAAACCAAGGUAGUGCUCAAGAGGUAGCACUAGCCUAUGGUAUGAUUGUAUGUUGUCCUAUGGACUAAACCCUCCGGUUUAUAUAGACAUCGGAGGGGGCUAGGGUUACACAAAGUCGGUUACAAGGGAGGAGAUCUACAUAUCCGUAUUGCCAAGCUUGCCUUCCACGCCAAGGAGAGUCCCAUCUAGACACGGGACGAAGUCUUCAAUCUUGUAUCUUCAUAGUCCAACAGUCCGACCAAAGGAUAUAGUCCAGCUGUCCGGAGACCCCCUAAUCCAAGAUUCCCUCAGUAGCCCUGAACCAGGCUUCAAUGACGAUGAGUCCGGCGCGCAGAUUUGUCUUCGGCAUUGCAAGGCGGGUUCCUCCUCCGAAUACUCCAUAGAAGAUUUUGAACCCAAGGAUAGUGUCCGGCUCUGCAAAACAAGUUCCACAUACCACCGUAGAGAGAAUAAUAUUUCCACAAAUCUAAUCUGCUGACACGUUUGACAGCAUGACAUCACGCCACGGCUUGGUCAUUAUCCAAACCGUUUUUCUCAACUAGCUACUGCACACAUCUCGAGGUGGUUUCCUUGGCACGUCUUGUCGAAGCAGAGAUCGUGUCCCCUUAUCAUGGGAUUCUCAUCAACAUGGAUGCGGGUAACCCAACCGCGCCAUCAAUUACGGCGCUUGGGGAAUAAGAGGUUUUACCAGGCGUGUGGGGAGGCGCAUCGCCUCUUCCGCCCUUAUAAAGGGAUUAGGAUUCACUCUUUUCACCCACACCCUCUUCCCGAUUCAUUCCAUUCUGCUCAGGCUCCAGCGCCCGAGCGUUCACCUUCUCUACCCACAAAAGAUCUUCCAAAAAUGUCCGGAUCCGGAGCAGGAGGCAAAUGGAUGGCCUCUACCGUUCGAGAGAAGGAUAUCAAAAAGCUUCGGGAGGCCGGGUAUCUGGUCAAGAAAAUCAGCCACCAUCUCCCGACGGCGGGACAGAUCGUCCCUACUCCAGAACCCCACGAGAGAGUUGUAUUCCUCCCUCACUUUGUCCGCGGGCUAGGGUUUCCCCUCCACCCAUUCGUCCGUGGCAUCAUGUAUUAUUAUGGGAUCGAUCUUCACGAUCUGUCCCCUAAUUCCUUCCUCAACAUAUCGACAUUCAUUGUCGUGUGUGAGGCUUUUCUCCGUAUUUCGCCGCACUUGGGUUUAUGGCUGAAGGUUUUUAAUGUGAAGCCCAAGGUGGUGGGCGGCGAGCACGCCGAUGCGGGGACGCUAUGGUGAGAAAGAUGCCCAACGUCGUAUGGCCAACGAGAACCUUUAAUGAUUUUGUCAAGGAGUGGCAACAGCAGUGGUUUUACAUCACUGAGCCUUGCGGCAAGGAAUGGGCCGCCUCUCCCGAGUUUCGAUCCGGCGCCCCUCUGCGGCUUACAUCCUGGGUCAAGAAAAGCCUGGACUGGUCCUCGUCCGACGAACUGUCGGUGCUUCAGACACGCGUUAAUGAUAUGGGAGAUAAGAACAUUGAACUUGUCAAUGUAGUCCAGGUGAUGUUAGUCUGCCGGAUACUGCCUUGUCAACACCAGACUUGCAAUCUAUGGGAUUUCGAUCCGGCUAGGCACCAAACUUUGCGAAGGUUCUUCGGCUCCUCGCACGAGGACAUUUGGAAGGUGCUUUUCAAGUCCAGGAAAUCAUGGUCGGACUCCGCCGAAGACCGUGGGUACCAACUGUCCCGCCCUGCAAGUUCGGUGAGUUUAUCAAACUUUUCUAUCUGCGUGACCCAAAGGAAGCGCUUAACGCAUGUUUAUUCAACUCCCCCAGAGCUGGACGAAGAAGGCGAAGCGGAUCCACUGUCUGGCCCCAUUGCCCAAAGACCCGGCCAUCCCACUUCUGACGAAGAUGCUGGUCCCGGCGCCCUACAAGGUGCCAAAUAAGACGGCCAAAAAGGAGGCCAAAAAGACCCGGGGCGGCCUUCGUCGUCGCGGCACUUCGGACACAAUACCCGAAGGCUCUGAUGCUCGUUCUGCCUCCGAAGAGGAUAAAGAGGAGGAGGAAGAUGAAUCCCCUGCGGGGGAAGGAGGAAGAGGACGGCCUCCGCACCCUUGGAGGCCGAACUGCCCAAAAGGGGAAGGGCUUCUCUUCCGGAGGAGUCCACUGCCACCACCGACAGUGGCCCGACAUGGGAUCCCAGGGCCCAGCCCCUGGUGAACUCGUAAGUAUAUAAAAUCCGAGUACGUUUAAGCGUCCGGACUCAUCUUGGCUCAGUAUUUUAACCUUAAGCCAUAUUUUUUGGUAGCCCGGUGAGGUCCCGUACCAAACAAUCCUCAUCAGAGGACCUGCUGAGCUCAAAUGCUAUGGAGAGCGGGACGCCCCCAAAGGCCCCUUCCUCCAACCAGGUGCAUAACACCGAGGCAUCGUCCCAGAAGGACCCCGGCCAAGGAGGAAAGGAAGAAACCGUGAAGGCGGCGCCUGGAGUUCAAACCGCAGGGGCCGGACACGUGGGGGAAAAGAUUCCCAUGGGGUCUGACAGCGGGGGUGAUCCUAAGUUCGGGUCCCCACCGGACGCGAUUCCAGGGGCCUAUAUGGCUCCAGAAUCAAGAAGGCAACCUCCCUCGGCUGGAGGGGGCGUGCUGUUCCACCGGCGACCUCUGUCCAUCUAGAGGUGUCGGGUGCUUUGUUGGUGGCGUUACGAGACGCCCCCAUCAUUGACGAACACCAUGCCCUUAUGGGUGCGGUGAUUGAGAAGAUUCAGUCAACUGAGAGUGGACUGAACGAAGCAUGUAUCAGCCUUAUAAGAGGCUUUGAGGUAUGUUUUAUAAGUUGCCGAAGAGUAUCACAGUAUAGAUAGUAGCCCCUGAUACACUGUUCGGUGAAAGAAAGAACUAGACAGGGGAUCGCAUUGAUGAUCACAGGAAGACUCAUUGAAUGAUAUUGAUUUCUCUUCUGUUGCAAGAAGAUACCUAUAGUGGCUGCUGCCUCUCGUACUACGGAGAUCUCCGGACUGAAUCAAAGUCUGGAGCGGGCCAUAGAAGAAAUUAGCCAAUUGAAAAUGCAGUUGAGGGAUAAACAAGGUAUGCACAAGCGUUGCCCGUAUUUAUUGUGAAAUAAAUGUUUAGCAUGAAGUAAGCCACAUAAUUUGUCCUAGGGGUUAUGACCGAAGUCGAGGCCCUCAAAAGGGCCAUUGCCGAGGCCGAGGAAAAGGCGGUCACGGAGCGGACUCUUCAUGAGAAACACGAGGCCAGAGUUAUUAAAGCUGAGCAGGAGCUGCAAGAGGCCGUAAGUAAAUGUGAGACCUUGGAGCAGAGUUUAACGGAGAAAGAGUCCGAACUCACCAAGGCGCGUCAAGCCACGAGCGACGUCUGGGGGGAAACCCAAAGCACCCUGUAGGGGAUCCAAGAGGCGAGGAAGAUCGCGACAGGUAAGGCUUUUCCCAUGUAAAGCAAGUAUUUGAAGGGAAAACUAUGUUUCUGAUUGUGAAUCCGGACUUCUCAUGUGUAUUUGCCGAGCUACCUCACAGCAUAUCCGAUGCCGCUCAAUUCUACCAAGCCGAAGGAAGGAACACCGCCGAUAAGCUUUUUUGGUCGCAGUAUUUGGCGCCGAAUUAUCCGGUGCCUUUUGCCGAUCAACUGAAACAGCUGAUCGAACUGCAUAAGGCGGCGGAACUAGCCAUGAAAUAUUUGGUUAUCCGGCUAUGGAUUGCCGAGCCGAUUCCAAGCAGCUACUUCGGGCUCGUGAGGCGGCUUGUAAGCGCUUGCCCUCGACUUGAUGUCAUCAAGCGGGCGGUCUGUAUAGAAGGAGCACGAAUGGCCUUCGCCCUUGCGAAGGUGCACUGGGGGAAGAUGGAUGCCGAAAAGUUAGUAACCGAGGGACCGCCAGAGGGGAAGGAGCACCGCAAGCUCGAAUUAUAUUAUAAGAGUGUCCUGAAAGGAUCCUACCUUGCAGCGGAGCUAUGCACCAAGGACAUUAUAUUUCCAUGAAUGCCGAUCAUGUUGUCCUUUGUAAUGUUUGAACAAGGUCAUUUAUAUGUCGCCUGUUAUAUAAAAGUUUACCCUCCUGUGCGGCCGUUUUUAUGUUAAGACUGAGAGUUGGCCAGUCAUCGCCUUCUGCCCCCACGUAAGAAGUACGGGGGUGUUCGGAUAAACCUGAGCACUCUUUAUCCCAGUUUUGGGUCCUCCGAAGGAGGUGCUCAGCAGAACGAACCAGGCAAUCGGACUAUAGGGCUUUAUCACUCUCACUUGGCCAUAGGAGCUUUAGUAUGGUCGGCGCAGCCCCUUGUGUUCGGAAGACCAUACUAGGGGCUCUAUAAGCGCUUGAUCGGAGAAAGAGCCGAUCCAUCGCACGCUACAUUGGUUAUGGCAUUAUGCGGGAGAAAUCCUUAAAGAUUUUGUGACUGCUCGAACAGCUGACCAGCUCUCGCCAUAUCAUGACAGUCAGUUUUCGGCUUUCUCUACUGAGGUGCUCAUCCGGAAGAACCGGGACAUAAUUGCAGUAGUUCUCCCAGUGCUACCUUAGCCGAUAUAGCGAAACAUAAGGUACCAAAACAUGGGAGCCGGGCAAACCCAACUAUUGACCCAAGACAUGAUUCGGAUCUGAUGCAUAUAAUGCUAUAAGUUCGGGGUGCCGAACUUCCAUGAAGGUGUUCGGACUUUUAUUGCCGUGUUACGGGGAAAACGAAGCCCCUGGCAUAUUUAAGGCAUAUCGAUGUGUACGAAUGCCAUUUGACGAAAUGAUUUCGAUAAGAAGUAAUCAGUAGGUAAACGUCAUAUAAAUCCACAUGUUGUAUUUGAAUAAUACGUCUAUGCGUAUGGUACAAGUAAUGUGAUAAAAAAGGAAUUGUGACAGCAGAACCUGCUGUGACCAGGGGGAAGAGGUUGAGUGUGGAUCCGUAUUGUAGCCGGACGUUUGCUGCGGGGAAUGUCUAAGGAUCCCAUGACGCGUUCGAGCUGCCUUUGUGGAAUCCAUCCUGGUUGGUGCAAAGGUGAACCUGCGAAGGAAAUAUAAGAAAUGUUUGUGUGCCGGAGGGCGGUUGAACCGCCGAGGGCCUGUCAUGGCCUUCGCUGGAGUGUUUAGUUGAGCUCUAGACGAGCCAGGGUAUCCUUCCGCGAAGUAGUUCGGAGCCCCUUGACGGUGUCCGGGAGCCUGGGCGUCGACUCGAGGUUCGGCUGCAAGGUGUUGCUCAUUGUUUCUGCUGCUAAGGCAGUGAUGUAUUUGUUGGUGCCAAAGGAAUGUUCGGCCUUGCCAUGAACCAUGAUGACGCCGCGUGGAUCGGGCAUUUUGAGCUUACGGUAGGCAUAAUGUGGCACCGCGUUGAAUCGAGCAAACGCGGUUCGCCCGAGCAGUGCUUGAUAGUCACUGCGGAAAGGGGCGAUUUGGAAGAUUAAUUCUUCGAUACGGUAAUUUUCUGGUGAUCCGAAGAUUACCUUGAGGGCAAUGGAGCCUGUACAGUUAACAUCCAUUCCUGGUAUGAUGCCUCUAAAAGUGGCUUUAGUGGGCUUGAUCGCUGACUGAUCGAUGCCCAUCUUGCGCACUGUGUCCUGGUAAAGCAGAUUUAAACUGCUACCUUCGUCCAUAAGGACUCGAGUGAGGUGGAACCCAUCUACUAUUGGGUCGAGGAUUAGUGCGGCUGGAUUGCCCCGAUUGGCGUUAACCGAAUGAUCCGUGCGGUCGAAGGUAACCGGCCCUAGCUUAUAUUGUGGGACGACUAGUUCCGUUGAGCCGUCGUCCCUAAGGGUGCAUAUCUGGUCCAAGUUGGCAAUUUGGGUGGUAUUUACCACAUUCAGCGAUUGAAUAUGGGGGGGGGGAUUUCUUUUGCCCUCCUGUGUUCGGCGAUCUGGGCUCUUCGCCGCUAUCGUCGCUUUGAGACCCCUCUUCAUUUUUGGCAUCUGCCUUGCCGGCUUGUUUGAAGACCCAGCAUUCUCUGUUGGUAUGGGUGGCUGGCGUUUCUGGGGUGCCAUGAAUUUUGCAUUGGCGAGCGAGUAUGCGGUACAGACUGGAUGGACCCAAAUUUGUAUUUUUGGGCGGCCCUUUCCGCUAACCGGACUUUGAGCCCCUGAACCCGGCACUAAAUGUCGUAUUUUUGGCGUUUUCACCAUAUUUGCGGCGUUUGUGUUUGUUGCGUCGUGGUUUGCCGUUGCUAUCCCUGGCUUCUGAUAUGCCAGGUUUGCUUGCUGUAUUGGUACUACGAGCCAACCAGCUAUCUUCGUCCACACAAAAGUGGGUCAUAAGUGUCGUGAGGGCUGCCAUGGACUUUGGCUUCUCUUGGCCGAGGUGCCGGGUGAGCCAUUCGUCACGGAUAUUAUGCUUAAAUGCCGCUAAGACCUCUGCAUCCGGACAGUCGACAAUUUGGUUCUUCUUGGUUAGGAACCAGGUCCAGAAUUUCCUGGCCGAUUCCCUUGGCUGCUGAGUUAUAUGACUUAAAUCGUCAGCGUCCGGCGGUCGCACAUAAGUGCCCUGGAAAUUGUCCAGGAAUGCCUCUGCCAGGCUCUCCCAACUUUCGAUGGAGUUUGCCAGCAAGCUAUUGAGCUAAUGUCGAGCCGGCCCUUUGAGUUUGAGCGGGAGAUACUUGAUGGCAUGUAGGUCAUCCCCACGGGACAUAUGAAUGUGGAGGAAGAAGUCUUCUAUCCAUACCGCAGGGUCUGUAGUACCAUCGUAUGAUUCGAUGUUUACGGGUUUAAACCCUUCUGGGAAUUCGUGAUCCAUUACUUCAUCAGUGAAGCAUAAGGGGUGUGCGGCGCCUCUAUGCCGGGCUAUAUCGCGACGCGGUUCAUACGAGUCUUGUCUGCCGUGUCCGGCUCGACCGGAUUUGCUUUUAGUGUAUCCGGCGUGACGAUCAUCAUCGCGUAUUGGUGCGCACCCCCGUGAUCCGUAGAUUGAUCUUGCAUGUUUUGCCUUGUUUUCCAAUACGUCUCGCAGGUCCUGUGUGUUGCCCUGGGCCUUGGUAUUUUUGUUUGAGUGGCGGCGGGGUGCAGGCAGAACUUCAGGCCGAAACGCCUCUCUGGCUCGGCCACGAGGUGGCCGGUCAGCCGCAUCGUACACUGGUGAUGUAGGUUUCAAUGCUUCCUCCUCGAGGUGAGGUAGCAACCUGCGCUUUGGGUAACUCUUGGAGAGGCACUCGAGUUCGUAUUCCUCGGUAGCAAGGACUUCGGUCCAUCUGUCUGCUAGCAAGUCUUGAUUAGCUUGAAGUUGUUGUUGCUUUUUCUUCAAGCUAUUUGUUGUGGUCGUAAGCCGGUGCUUGAAGCGCUCCUGCUCAACGGGAUCCUCAGGCACGAUAAAUUUUUUGUUGCCGAGGCUCACCUCAUCUUCGGAGAGAGGCAUGUAAUUGUCCUCCUCCGAUUCUCCAUCUGCUGCCCGCUCUGGAGGGCUAGCUUGUUCACCCUCCCGCUCUAAAUCGUGUUGGGGGAUUGUUGUCGUUUUCGGCACUAUCCGGAGUGUUAUUGUCUCUUGUGCCGGUAUCACUACCUUUGCUAUGGCGGGACUUGGAGCGGCGCCGCUGACGUCGGCGCUUGGGUUGCUUCUUGGAGGGGUCACCCUCCACUGUUUCAUCGCCAUUGCCUUCUUCGCGGGUGUCCACCGUGUAUAUAUCAUAUGAUGAGGUGGCAGUCCAGCACCCUGUGGGCGGUGGUUCCUGUUCGUCUCCUGCAUCGUCGUCCAUACCGUCGAUGUCUUCGGAUUCGAAGUCGAGCAUGUCGGUUAAAUUGUCGACAGUGGCUACUAAGUGGGUGGUGGGUGGGCAGCGAAUUUCUUCGUCGUCCGCAUGCCAUUCUAGCCGGACAUAGUUCGGCCAAGGUUCUCCUGACAAGGAGAGAGACCUUAAUGAAUUUAGCACAUCGCCGAAAGGCAAGUGCUGAAAGAUAUCCGCGGAGGUGAACUCCAUGAUCGGCGCCCAAUCGGAUUCGAUAGACACAGAUGCAGGCGGCUCGGAGUCCGUGGUCGGAGACGAAUCCAGUGGUUCGGCAACACGGCUCUCGUAAGGGGUGAAGUCAGUAUCCGGCUCCAUCGCCACUGAGAGUGCGGCCUCCAUGGCGGGGUCUAUCCCUCCGUCCUCGGAUGGCGCAAUUUGCUCCGGAUUGAAGGCCGGAGUAGUUGUAGGUGUGAUCUCCCGAACACUGUCCGACAGCAGAGCUAAAUCAUGCUCGUCGUGAUCGUGCGGCGCACCUGACACGGGCUCGAAUUCGUCGAAGAUCAAGUCUCCGCGGGUGUCGGCAGUGUAGUUUAGGUUUCCGAAUCUGACCUGAUGGCCAGGGGCGUAGCUCUCGAUCUGCUCCAGAUGGCCAAGCGAGUUGGCCCGCAGUGCGAAGCCGCCGAAUAUGAAGAUCUCUCCAGGGAGGAAAACCUUACCCUGGACCGCAUCGUUACCGAUGAUCGAAGGAGCCAUCAAGCCUUACGGUGACGGCACAGUGGAACUCUUAAUUAAAGCACCAAUGUCGGUGUCAAAACCGACGGAUCUCGGGUAGGGGGUCCCGAACUGUGCGUCUAAGGCGGAUGGUAACAGGAGGCAGGGGACACGAUGUUUACCCAGUUUCGGGCCCUCUCGAUGGAGGUAAUACCCUACGUCCUGCUUGAUUGAUCUUGAUGAUAUGAGUAUUACAAGAGUUGAUAUACCACGAGAUCGUAGAGGCUAAACCCUAGAAGCUAGCCUAUGGUAUUAUUGUAUGUUAUCCUACGGACUAAACCCUCCGGUUUAUAUAGACACCGGAGGGGCUAGGGUUACACAAAGUCGGUUACAAGGGAGGAGAUCUACAUAUCCGUAUUGCCAAGCUUGCCUUCCACGCCAAGGAGAGUCCCAUCCGGACACGGGACGAAGUCUUCAAUCUUGUAUCUUCAUAGUCCAACAGUCCGGCUGUCCGGAGACCCCCUAAUCUAGGAUUCCCUCACCAGUAAUGAUGAUCUUUUUGCAUGUAGCAUGCUCUCGUCGAGUCGAACGGUUUCUGAGGUGGCAUGGGAAAGCGGAGACACCCACGUCCCAUCAAUCGCCACGCUCGACCGAGGCCGUAGGCGGUUAGGGCCCGUGGCGGUUCUCCCUUACUCUUUGGCUUCGCCUCAAAGGCAAGUCUAAGCGCGCCUUGGGCCCGGGGGCUACUGCCGGCGUCCUAGGAACUAGGGUACCCAGACUUGCCUGCCCGCGGCCCACGGUGUGGCUCUAUCAACGGCCUGGUACGGCCCAUCUUCAGCACUAACAACACAAGACCCUCCCGAGGGGCCAAGCCUCGCGAGGCGGACGACGCCAAGACCUCCAGGAAGAGCGGCCACCUAGGCUAGCUCCCGAGGAGCGGAGAUUUCUAGGCAAGCCCUCAGCUCGUGAGGUUCGAAUGACGCAAGUCAUGACGACCAAGGCCAGGCGGGCGCUAGCGGGCGCAGCACAGCAGGUUUCCUCUUUGGUGCUAAAGAGGCAAGCGCAGGCGCGGAGUCCCGAGGCAUCAACCAAAGCUUUUCAUUUCCAUGCAACAAGACAAGACCGCCAGGACGGCAGGACGGAGGUCAUCGUCGAGCCCACCACGGCGUCACGACCAGAAGCUUUGCAGGCGAAGACCACCUUUCGUCAGGAUAAGAUGUACUAGUUGCCCCCCUUCGAAUUUGGCCGUUGUGGGAUUCCUUCUCGCCUUCGUUUUGGGGGAAGAGGACCAAGGCCACUAUAAGUAUAGUCUAUACACCACCAUAGGGAGGGGAUCCGGAUCUAGAACAUCCACACCCUCACCAGCUCACCCCAACACAAGAACACACCUCAUGAGGUCGUUCUACCACUGUACUAGUUCAUCCCCAGCUCACCUCGAGGCCAAUCCACCACAAAGCAGGAGUAGGGUUUUACACCGCAAGGUGGCCCGAACCUUGGUAAACUAUUGUGUCCCAUUUCCUUCCAGUUCAUCGAGCUAGCCUGUGAGAUCGACGAGUUGGCAGACUAGGGAGGUUGAGUUCUUUGCACACAUCCCGAAGUUCAAAUCUAUCAAGAGUCUGCGGAGCCCCGAAUCCGACUAGCGUAGGAUCGGUCCGGACUCCCACAACCCUCCCCUCCAAGUUUGUCUUCGGUUUGCUGGAUAAAUCAGGUCUGGACCACCCCACAGACCGAUACAAAUCCGCGUUAAAUGAUUUUCACUAUUUAGACUGCACGAUCCAGAUGCAUGCAGGAGUUUGUGGGUCGGCGUUGAAGAUGUCAUUAGUGGACUAGACACACUCCAAUGUUUGGCGUCUCUCCCGUUAGAUUAGUAGCGUAGAUCAGAUGGUGAUGCAACAUAACAUAACAUAGGAAUCUAAUAAGCGUGAAGCAAACAACCCAUGUUAUAUCCGUCGGCUUGCAAAGUGUCAGUUCCCUGUAGCUGUAGUGACUGACAGACUGACAGCGCCCACCUAGCAAGCCCUAGCCGUAGCCGUAGCCUCCUCAUCAUCAUCUUUCGGCCGAACUGGGUCCGGCCUUUAUCGUUCCGCUGUUCUUCACUUUCUCUGUGCUCUGCAUUUGCCACUGACAAUUCGCCGCUGCCCGCUUGUGAGUUCCGUUCCGAGCUCAGCUCAGCUCCUCAACGGCGUUGAACACAUGUUGCCCUUGCCCGAUCAGCUGGAAACCAAACUGGUACGGGCUUUUUGACAGUUUUGAUUCCCUUACUUUGGAGCUUGACUUUUGUAUUCGAAGUGGCACUUUUCAGCUGUAGGCGGUCGACCACCUAUUUCACCACACCAACCAUACUCUGCAGCUUAUUUUCGCUGAAGGGAAAACCGAGUGGGCUUUACUCCGUCGACGACGACAACGACAAAGCUUCCUCGUGUGCCUUUGAGGCCUGCGCACUCAGCAGUGAGCACCACACCGCGUCGUACCACCACGUCUCGACAAAAGCUGGGUCAGCGGCAUCUACCGCGCGCCCCCCACGUUAAAUUUACGAGAUCGUACGUCUUAUCCCGCCACCCAUGUCAUCGCCAUCGGAAGUCCAGGUCCAGGCAAACGCGGCGUUCCGCCACCACACCACAGCAGCUUAUUAAACAACGCCGUCAAAUCCUCAACUCUCUCUCCUUUUGCCUUUUCUUUACGCCUAUUAUCUGUUGCCUGUCAGACACAAAUACUUAUGCAGCGAACACGACGUGCACGUAUGAUAUGAUCUUCUAACGCGCAAGGGAGCGACAGUAGAGUCGCUCUCACUUAGCCAGACGCGGCAACCGAGUGGCGCUCUGAACCUACCUUUUCCCGGAGCUUUCCCUUUCCUUUGCCAUCUCUUUAUCGCCGCGAAUAUUCCACGGAGCUAAAUUGGUUUCGUACCAAAAUGCCAAUAGCGCAACUCCGUAUAUCCUAACGCCCUCCAUUACAAGAGACUUUAUUCAGUACUCCCUCGCGGAAAAGGAAGGAUAAGAGACGUGAACACUGGUAUUAUACUAUUACAUUCUAGAAGAGGCGAUCUAUUUCUUCGUCCGAAAUUAGUCUAUCUAGCACUGAAAUACCUUCUAGAACAGGCGGUCCAUAUUCUAAAAAAAAGGCGGUCCAUUAGAAGAAAUGUGAGCCAGCAUGAGUUUCAAAGUGAUACAUGCUGCAUGAGGUCCAAAGUCAUACAAACACAGCUGAAAUUCUAUACGAGACCUUGUGUACGCGGUGUUUUUGACCGGUAGCUUUCUCUGACGUCUUCAUCAGCUGUGAUCUACCAAACCAUUGGUUGCCCUUGCAAGACUAAACGUGAGGUGUUUGUUCAUAUUCCUGCUCUGCUACUCGGGUCGCUAUUUUUAUUCCUUCUUUUUGGAGGCAAUGCUAGUACUUUGCAGUUAAGUAUGCGGGCGAACUAACUAGUUAAUGCGAAGUGUCGACAUUUCUCCCCCAUCGUCCAAUCAGGGCCCCUCCCACUUUCUCCAUCUCUCCAUCUCUCUCUCUCUCUCUCUCUCUCUCUCUCUCUUCCCUAUCCAUUUCGCAUGCGAUUUGUUUACAAAUUUUAUUCUCCGCACGUCCAAAUCUGCCCCCAACUCCCCCGAUAGACUAGGCUCCCUUUUUAAAUCGAAAAUCUGCUCUGCCAAUAAUCCCAACAGCUCACUCUACCUACAACUAAUUUCUCUGGAAUCUUUACAAACAGUAGUACUACUACGCCUAUCUGCACCAACCAGUUUUCUCUGCAGGUGGCAGAUCAUUUUAGUAGUACUAGUACUACUGCUGGUGAUGGCAGAUCAUUAUAGAUCAGUGGUUAACCAGCAAGAAAUCAGUGGGCAGCACAUGGACAGUGCUGGUACAACUCGUACUCAUCAUCUUUGUUAAGGAGCAAUCGAUUAAGCGGUAGUACAUCGAGCCAGCCAGCCUCUCCGGGGAAAACUGCCAAAACCAGAGGCUUAACCAAUCUCUACUACUCUCCCUGCAUCUCAUCUCAUUCUCAUCACCGAUCACAAACUACUCGUAGAAGAAAAGAAAAAAACUCAUCAAAUUAAUCGUAAGGGGACGGACGAUCGAUCGCCGUGGGUGGGCCGGAUCAGG
rnacentral:lncRNA from 1 species